rnacentral:rRNA from 1 species
AUUGAACGCUGGCGGCAGGCCUAACCCAUGCAAGUCGAGCGAGCGGCGGACGCGUGAGUAAUGUCUGGGAAACUGCCUGAUGGAGGGGGAUAACUACUGGAAACGGUAGCUAAUACCGCAUACCAUCAGAUGUGCCCCGAUGUGAUUAUCUCGUAGGUGGGGUAAUGGCUCACCUCGGCGCCGAUCCCUAGCUGGUCUGAGAGGAUGACCAGCCACACUGGAACUGAGACACGGUCCAGAUGCCUACGGGAGGCAGCAGUGGGGAAUAUUGCACAAUGGGCGCAAGCCUGAUGCAGCCAUGCCGCGUGUGUGAAGAAGGCCUUCGGGUUGUAAAGCACUUUCAGCGGGGAGGCGUUACCCGCAGAAGAAGCACCGGCUAACUCCGUGCCAGCAGCCGCGGUAAUUC